rnacentral:rRNA from 1 species
ACGCUCAUGCACGAAAGCGUGGGGGAGCAAAAAGGAUAGAUACCCGGUAGGCCACGCCCCUAAACGAUGUCAACUGGUUGUUGGACGGCUUGCUGUUCAGUAACGAAGCUAACGCGUGAAGUUGACCGCCUGGGGAGUACGGCCGCAAGGUUGAAACUCAAAGGAAUUGACGGGGGCCCGCACAAGCGGUGGAUGAUGUGGUUUAAUUCGAUGCAACGCGAAAAACCUUACCUACCCUUGACAUGCUAGGAAUUCUGCAGAGAUGUGGAAGUGCUCGAAAGAGAACCUAGACACAGGUGCUGCAUGGCCGUCGUCAGCUCGUGUCGUGAGAUGUUGGGUUAAGUCCCGCAACGAGCGCAACCCUUGUCAUUAGUUGCUACGAAAGGGCACUCUAAUGAGACUGCCGGUG